GACGAAGGUCCCUAGCGUUGCUCGGAAUUAUUGGGCGUAAAGCGGGUGUAGGUGGCUUUGCAAGUCAGGUGUGAAAUCCCUGGGCUCAACCCAGGAAGUGCAUUUGAUACUGCUUAGCUCGAAUGUGGGAGAGGAUGGUAGAAUUCCUGGUGUAGUGGUGAAAUACGUAGAUAUCAGGAGGAAUCCCGGUGGGGAAGCCGGCUGUCUGGCCUAACAUUGACACUGAGACCCGAAAGCGUGGGGAUCAAACAGG
rnacentral:rRNA from 1 species